CAGCAGCCGCGGUAAUACAGAGGGUGCAAGCGUUAAUCGGAGUUACUGGGCGUAAAGGGCGCGUAGGCGGUUAUAUAAGUGAGAUGUGAAAUCCCUGGGCUUAACCUAGGAACUGCAUCUUAUACUGUAUGGCUAGAGUAUUGUAGAGGGUAGUGGAAUUUCCGGUGUAGCGGUGAAAUGCGUAGAGAUCGGAAGGAACACCAGUGGCGAAGGCGGCUACCUGGACAAAUACUGACGCUGAGGCGCGAAAGCGUGGGGAGCAAACAGGAUUAGAUACCCCGGUAGUCCCUGUCUCUUAUAC
rnacentral:rRNA from 1 species